UACGUAGGGUGCAAGCGUUGUCCGGAAUUAUUGGGCGUAAAGAGCUCGUAGGCGGCUUGUCACGUCGACUGUGAAAACCCGGGGCUCAACUCCGGGCCUGCAGUCGAUACGGGCUGGCUUGAGCGCGGUAGGGGAGACUGGAAUUCCUGGUGUAGCGGUGAAAUGCGCAGAUAUCAGGAGGAACACCGGUGGCGAAGGCGGGUCUCUGGGCCGUAACUGACGCUGAGGAGCGAAAGCGUGGGGAGCGAACAGG
rnacentral:rRNA from 1 species